rnacentral:rRNA from 1 species
CCUACUGGUGACAGCAGUGAGGAAUAUUGGUCAAUGGACGAGAGUCUGAACCAGCCAAGUAGCGUGAAGGAUGACUGCCCUAUGGGUUGUAAACUUCUUUUAUAUGGGAAUAAAAUGUUCCACGUGUGGGCUUUUGUAUGUACCAUAUGAAUAAGGAUCGGCUAACUCCGUGCCAGCAGCCGCGGUAAUACGGAGGCUCCGAGCGUUAUCCGGAUUUAUUGGGUUUAAAGGGUGCGUAGGUGGUUUGUUAAGUCAGUUGUGAAAGUUUGCGGCUCAACCGUAAAAUUGCAGUUGAAACUGGCAGUCUUGAGUGCAGUAGAGGUAGGCGGAAUGCGUGGUGUAGCGGUGAAAUGCUUAGAUAUCGCGAAGAACUCCGAUUGCGAAGGCAGCUCGCUGGACUGAAACUGACACUGAGGCUCGAAAGUGUGGGUAUCGAACAGGAUUAGAUACCCCAGUAGUC